rnacentral:rRNA from 1 species
GGAUUGCCUCAGUAACGGCGAGUGAAGCGGCAAAAGCUCAAAUUUGAAAUCCCCCGGGAAUUGUAAUUUGAAGAGAUUUGGGUCCGGCCGGCGGGGGUUAAGUCCACUGGAAAGUGGCGCCACAGAGGGUGACAGCCCCGUGAACCCCCUCAACGCCUUCAUCCCAGAUCUCCAAGAGUCGAGUUGUUUGGGAAUGCAGCUCUAAGUGGGUGGUAAAUUCCAUCUAAAGCUAAAUACCGGCGAGAGACCGAUAGCGAACAAGUACAGUGAUGGAAAGAUGAAAAGCACUUUGAAAAGAGAGUGAAAAAGUACGUGAAAUUGUUGAAAGGGAAGGGCUUGCAAGCAGACACUUAACUGGGCCAGCAUCGGGGCGGCGGGAAACAAAACCACCGGGGAAUGUACCUUUCGAGGAUUAUAACCCCGGUCUCAAUUUCCUUGUUGCCCCGAGGCCUGCAAUCUAAGGAUGCUGGCGUAAUGGUUGCAAGUCGCCCGUCUUGAA